GACGUAGGAGGCGAGCGUUAUCCGGAUUCACUGGGCGUAAAGCGCAUGUAGGCGGAUGUCUAAGUCGUGUGUUAAAGCCCCUGGCUCAACUGGGGGAGGUCAUGCGAGACUGGAUGACUUGAGGGCAACAGAGGCACGUGGAACUCCCGGUGUAGCGGUGGAAUGCGUAGAGAUCGGGAAGAACACCCGUGGCGAAGGCGGCGUGCUGGGUUGCAACUGACGCUGAGAUGCGAAAGUGUGGGGGAGCAAACGGG
rnacentral:rRNA from 1 species